rnacentral:rRNA from 1 species
UACGGAGGGGGCUAGCGUUGUUCGGAAUUACUGGGCGUAAAGGGCGCGUAGGCGGUUCGCCAAGUUAGGCGUGAAAGGCCCGGGCUUAACCCGGGAAUGUCGCUUAAUACUGGCGGGCUCGAGAUCGGGAGAGGAGAGUGGAAUUCCCAGUGUAGAGGUGAAAUUCGUAGAUAUUGGGAAGAACACCGGUGGCGAAGGCGGCUCUCUGGCCCGCAUCUGACGCUAAGGCGCGAAAGCGUGGGGAG